GAAAAGGGAGGAGGAGGAGGUCAAGGAAAGAAGGUAUUGAAAGUGGAGAAUUGGAGAAUGAUGGUUUUACUUUUUCUUUUUCUUUUUUUUGUCUUGUUUCUUUUUUUGUGUAAUUUAAAAAAAAUUCUCAAUAAAUAUCAUUUAAAAAAAAAGAAGAAGUGGGAUGGGGGAACCUGGGCUUGGAUAUGGGCACUCCAGACCCAAACUGCUGAAUAGCACUGCAUUGGCAGAUCUAUGCCCAGGGAGCCACUAUGGCCCAUAGCGAGAGUCAUAUGGCACAUGGCGAGAGCCAGUGUGGUGUAGUGGUUAAGAGCAAUAGACUCGUAAUCUGGUGAACCAGGUUCGCGUCUCUGCUCCUCCACCUGCAGCUGCUGGGUGACCUUGGGCUAGUUACACUUCUCUGAAGUCUCAGCCCCACUCACCUCACAGAGUGUUUGUUGUGGGGGAGGAAGGGAAAGGAGAAUGUUAGGCGCUUUGAGACUCCUUCGGGUAGUGAUAAAGCGGGGUAUCAAAUCCAAACUCUUCUUCUUUUUCUUCAUAUACUUGGGGGGCAAUAUUGAUUGAGAGUGGUUUGCGACUUUUACAGUCAUCCCUCCAUGGCACCAAAUACUCUUGCAAAAGCAAGAAUCGCACAAGGCAAGCGUUAAACCAUCAACGCAUCACUAUGUUAAGAGCGCAAGUGAAGCACUAUCCUGUAAAACGAUAGAGUUUGCAUAAGCCCUGGUUGGCCACGCUUUUGCUGACAUGUGCUGUUGAGGUUAGCCGCAACCCCGUAGUUAAGUGAAAGAGAGUAAUCAUCCUCUCAAUUUGCUUUGCAGUCUAAGAGAGGAUUGCAGGGUAAGGAGACAAAUUGUUUUCGUUGCCUUUCAGCAGAAAGUGCUAAUGGAAUAAGGCCUCUGGUGUUGACUGCUUUCUCUCACUUCCUCUCCACCUCAUGUUCUGGUUUGGCCUCCAAUCAUUAGAUGCUAACGGCUGUCUAAGAGCAUGUUAGAAUACAGACAAUAGCUACACAUAUCGACAGAGCCUUCUUCCCUAUCUGGCCAGCCUGUUUGUGCUGCCUGUGCAAUGAGAACAAGGGACCAGGACUAGUCCUACCAUUAGAAGACUUGUUUACUUGAGAUGCAAGUGGGAAGCUUGUGCAGGCAGCGAUCCAAAUUAACUUUGGCUCUCUGAAAAUGACGUUCGUUUCUCUCCAGCUACGCCAGCAAAUAAUUGUUUGGGGAAAGGGCACAUCAACAGCUUCAGGAGGCCAUCUCAAGUAAUGACAUUAUAGAAUCGACGAAGGUAUGUUUGGUUUUUGGAGGCAGAUUGCUGGCACAAACGUCUAGGUCUGAGUUGCUGUUGUCAGCUUUGCAUCUAUGUCUGUUUGUAGUAAAAACGAGGAGGCAGGGAAUUAUUACACAUUUCCACAGAAAUCUUCUUUUAUGUUUUUUAAUAAAAAAUGUGGAAGGGGGUGUGUUAUAUUGGCUUUCUCAUUCUUGCUCCUAAUUAGCAGUCCACAGUUGCCUGGAAACACAAUUUAGUGCCUUGUGUUGGCUGUAGCUUCAUAGAUAAGAGAAUGUUCGGCCUCGUGUGCCUCCUUUACCUCUUUGGCUACACUGGCAUUUGUCGUUAGUUUUAAUAACAUAGCAUCUUCUCCUUUUUUCUUCCUUCAUUUUAAUAAAGUGAUACUAUGCAGCAGUUGCAUCCAUACAGCCACCCCGAAGGAGUCUGUUUGUGCAGUAGAAUGCAGAGCUGGAGAUUAGAGUUCCACAGCUCCAAGAAUGAUAGUUAUUAGAAUUUGGCCUCCCGGCUCUGCAAAAUGUACCCAGUUCAGGUAUAAAAUGAUUGUUGUAAAGGUAAAGGUACCCCUGCCCGUACGGGCCAGUCGUGUCCGACUCUAGGGUUGUGCGCCCAUCUCACUUAAGAGGCCGGGGGCCAGCGCUGUCCGGAGACACUUCCGGGUCAUGUGACAAGCUGCAUCUCGCAAGCCAGCGCAGCACACGGAAAUGCCGUUUACCUUCCCGCUGGUAAGCGGUCCCUAUUUAUCUACUUGCACCUGGGGGUGCUUUCAAACUGCUAGGUUGGCAGGCACUGGGACCGAGCAACGGGAGCGCACCCCGCCGCGGGGAUUCGAACCGCCGACCUAACGAUCGGCAAGUCCUAGGCGCUGAGGUUUUACCCACAGCGCCACCCGCAUCCCAAAGUUAAAGGUAAAGGUACCCCUGCCCGUACGGGCCAGUCGUGUUCAGGUAUAAAAUGAUUGUUGUAGCAAUUAUUAAUUGG